CUUGGCACCUGAUGUUCUUGAGUGGUAGUGGCAUCCUACACCCUUUCUCGUGAACUUGAACAACAAACAAGGUAGCUGCAAUGCAAAAGCCGGAAUGAAUGCCUUAAAUCAUUCUCUAGGUCGAGGGUUUACCUCUUCAUGGAGGAAUCGUAAUGGAGGAGUUGGAGCUAAAUUCCUUUUUCUUUCCACCUCCUUUUGAGACCUAUGCUUGUUGAAAGGGGAAGGGAGAGGGAAUUCAGUCAUUCAAUUUUGUGUCGAAGUUUGAACUUGACAUGUGCUCAGUGACAGUUGUUUUUCUCUUCCUCCUUACGCCGCCACCUCUCUUUCAUUGGUGGGUUUGUGCUCUUCCUUUCCACAUAUCACAUGACCGUUCUUUCACGAACUAAGUUUUACCACACUCCUUAAGUAUAUGUUCAGCUUUGAAUAGUCUCUUUAUUGGAAGAUUCCUAAGCUCAGAAACUUUGUUGUUUAUGUAAAGAGCUAUGUGCUUAUAGUAUAUGUGUAUCUGAUAUCUGGUAACCUACUAAAUUCAUGGCAACAUUAAGUUCUUUGAAAAACAGUAGUUUGGUGAUGGUAAUGUGCAUGUGCUAGCUGAUUGCUAUUUUUACAAAAACAGUAGUUUCUGAAUCUCGCACACAAACACACACCUACACGCGCACAUGCAUUCACACAAGAAUACAAACAUGCUAAUAUAUUGCAUUAGUUCUUGGAAUAUCAGAUGGAGGCUAGAAAGUAUGGAUAUCCCUAUUUUCAAUUGAUGUGGACGAAAGGAGUUCAGGGUGAGAAAUAUAAUUAACAGUGGCAUCUCAAACUGAGAAAAAGUUGAGGCGUUAGCAUUUUCUUGUCAGCGGAGAGGCAGUGGUUUUUGCUGUUAUCUUUGUGUUGCUACUUUAUGAAGAUUUUGAUCUGGUGGAAUACAAGUAUCCUUGCAAAUCUCAAAUGUUGUCAAUUUGAUUGUCAGCAAGUCGGUGAUCAGACUUAUGGUUCUGCAGGCCCUGUCUUGCAUAGCCAAUGAUGCUCCGAAGUUCUCAGUUCUUCUUCUUUUCUUUUCUUUUCUUUUCUUUUUUCGCCCCCUUGAUUCUCCCUCUCUCUUUUUAAUUUUUCCACCGUUCGCUCCAUGGUAUGAUAUGGGCCGAGCUUUAUUUAUACCCUCUUCAUUUUUUUAUUCAUUCUUGUCUUCUUUUCUACCAUCUCUUACUCUAUUCUCUCUCUGUUUUUUUUUCUUAUUUAUUUAUUGUCCUUAUCCUUUCUCUCUUAAGUGCCUGGAGAGAGAUGAAAGACUUUAUAUUUAUUUUGGUCCUUUUUCUUUAACUAUCAUGCCAGCUAAUCUAUUUAUUUUAUUAUUGUUUUUUCUUUGAUUUUUUUUCAAGUAAAAAAUUAUGAAAUGAUGGCAAUGCUCGUCCUUCUGGUCUAGAGAGAUUCAGAAAAGGGGAAAAUCAAUGAGCUUUCAUUAUAUCCAAAACCUUUUUAACUUGCCUGCUUCACUCGAGGUCGACUGUUUCACGCUUUGUUCUUCCUUCUCUCUUUUGAACCGACCUAAAGAAAGAAAGGGCGUUUUCAGUGGAUAGGAUCAAGGCUCCAUCCGUCCUCUACAGCAGCAUAGCGUAGGAAAUUAACAGGACGGUAAGUAUAGCAUGUAGCCUGUACUCUGCUCUGUAGUGCCAGUCCCAAAUUGUAGAUGGGCUCUAUUUCAACAAGCAACAGAGAGGAUGGUUGUCAGACACCUGGCUAAAGCCUGAGCUAUUGAAUUGUGGGUCAAUUUAUUGGAUUGGUGGGUUAACCCAAUCUAUAUGCAUGUAUGGGGAUUUAUGGGUUCAAAUCUCA